AUAGCUCAGUUGGUAGAGCAGUAGACUGAAAAUCUACGUGUCCUUGGUUCAAUUCCGAGU
rnacentral:tRNA from 1 species